GUAGGUGGCGAGCGUUGUCCGGAAUUAUUGGGCGUAAAGCGCGCGCAGGCGGUUUUUUAAGUCUGAUGUGAAAGCCCACGGCUCAACCGUGGAGGGUCAUUGGAAACUGGAGAACUUGAGUACAGAAGAGGAAAGCGGAAUUCCACGUGUAGCGGUGAAAUGCGUAGAGAUGUGGAGGAACACCAGUGGCGAAGGCGGCUUUCUGGUCUGUAACUGACGCUGAGGCGCGAAAGCGUGGGGAGCAAACAGGGAUUAGAUACCCUGGUAGUCCACGCCGUAAACGAUGAGUGCUAAGUGUUAGGGGGGUUUCCGCCCCCUUAGUGCUGCAGCUAACGCAUUAAGCACUCCGCCUGGGGAGUACGGCCGCAAGGCUG
rnacentral:rRNA from 1 species